UACGUAGGUGGCAAGCGUUAUCCGGAUUUAUUGGGUGUAAAGGGCGUGUAGGCGGGAGCGCAAGUCAGAUGUGAAAACUCAGGGCUCAACCCUGAGCCUGCAUUUGAAACUGUGUUUCUUGAGUGCUGGAGAGGCAAUCGGAAUUCCGUGUGUAGCGGUGAAAUGCGUAGAUAUACGGAGGAAUACCAGUGGCGAAGGCGGAUUGCUGGACAGUAACUGACGCUGAGGCGCGAAAGCGUGGGGAGCAAACAGG
rnacentral:rRNA from 1 species